ACCUGCCUGCCUUCCCACUUCCCUUUUCCUUCUCCUCGUCUUCCCUCCGGAUUGCAUGGUCCGUUUGGUUGCGUGGAAUGGAACGGCGCCUGCCGCCGCCGGCCGUUUCCUCCAUCGGUCGGACCACCGCACGGCGGCAAGACCAAAUCCUCGAGUGUUUGGAUGGGUGUGCUGCUGUUGCCAUCAACUGCCCGUGACAUUAUUUCUUAGCUCGUUCAGGACUGGCCUGUUUGAAUCCAAGCCUGGCUUGGGCAAUGGGCACUCGUCCAGGCAUGACAAUCUAGCCCAGGGGUUGGAAGCCGACGACCUCUGCGAGAGCUACCUGACCAGGCACAUUUGUCAGGUCUCGGUUAAGUUUGAUCGGUCAUUCGACAGGAUUCCCCAUCCUGAUGCAGCCUUGGAGGAAUCUAUAAGUGAGAUAUGGAACAAAAGCCUUCAGCAGAGCCCAUCUCUAUACAACGGUACAAAGUUUCGGUACGGAGGAAAUGCCUUGCAUUACAAAGAUGGCUCAAAUCAUGAUCGUGAGUACUGUGUCUCGCUUCAUUUGGGUCUCACAGACUACAGGACAUUUGUGGGAACAAAUCUCAAUCCAUUGUGGGAGAAUUUUUUGGUUCCAUCUGAAGAUGAUUCUUUACGUUGCCAACACAUGUCAGAUCCACUGGGCAAUGGUGCUAUAGUUGAAACAUCUGACGAAAAGAUUAUUGUAUUGCAAAGGAGUUACAAUGUGGUGGACUUUCCAGGAUACUAUGUUUUCCCUGGAGGACACUCGGAGCCACAAGAAAUUGGAAUCAUGGGUCAUCAAACUGAUGAAGAAGACGUUUCUUGUCUCACUGAACGAGUUUCACAAGAAAUGUUUGACGGAAUCAUCCGUGAAGUGGUUGAGGAAACUGGAGUUCCUGCUAGCUCCCUAACAGAUCCUGUCUUCAUUGGAGUUUCUCGCCGAGAAGUUAAUGUUAGGUCAACUGCAUUCUUUUUCACAAAAUGUAACAUUGACUCCAGCGGCGUAAAUGAGCUUUAUUCUAGAGCUCAAGAUGGCUAUGAAUCUACUAAACUGUAUGCAGUAUCUGUGGAAGAGCUACAAGGAAUGAGGCAGCGAAUGCCUGGUUGCCACAAUGGUGGUAUUGCUCUAUAUGAAUCGAUGAGGAGUGCUGCCAAAAAAUUGUGAAGAUGUCAUUAGAUCAGCAGCCAAAUGAAGAAAUGCGCCCUGCUGGGUGGAGCCGUACUAGCUUUCCCCGUCUACUGAACAUGUUCUCUUAGCUUUUCUCGGCUUGUUUCAGCUUAUUUUCUUUCAUACAAUACUAUGCCAUCAGCCGAACAAAACUGGCGGCACCCGUGCUACUGCUAGGUUGAUUUGUAUCCUGCUGUAUCAAAUCUCCAAAAUCUUGUAUACAAAACCUUCUUAUUUGAGCGCUAAGCUCACAGACAAUUCGAAAUUUUCUGACAUUCAUGCAAGAAAUGCGACACAUGUACUAGUACUUCGAUUUUUUUAAUAAUAUAUUUUUAACGGAAAUUUGUAAAUGUGGCAUUUGGCUUGCAAGAAUUGCAAAUAUAGCACGCUGUCCGCAGCUCGAGAGUCGAUAGAACCCUAUCGGCGGCCCAUUGGCCGACUGGGCCCGACCAGGCAAGAAAAGUCAGCCCAUUGUACCUUGAGGGCCCAUAGGACCCAAACCUUCCGCCGACCGCCGCUGUCGCGCACCGGCCAACCCCGUCUCCGGCGCCUCGCCACCCGCACCGGAGCCCGUAUGGCGGCCCCCGCUUCCGCCGCAGAUCCGGGCACGGCGUUCAAGCUCCUCGUCUCCUGCCCCACCGGCCUCCCUCGCUCCCGCGUUUCAGUUAAGUUCCAUCAGUCAUUCGACAGGAUACCCCACCCGGACGCAGCCUUGGAGGAAUCUAUAAAUGAGGUUAUGCUAUCUAUUUAUCUACCUUUUUUUUCAAUUGUACAUCUAUCUGAUGUAUGCAUGCAUCCAAUUGUACAUCUAUCCGAUGUAUGCAUGCAUCCACGACAAUUCUUCAUAUCUGUUGUUCCUGGCUUCCUGCAGAUAUGGAACCAAAGGCUUCAGCAGAACCCAUCUCUAUACAGUGGUACAAAGUUUCGGGAUGGAGGAAAUGUCUUGCACUACAAAGAUGGACCAAAUCAGGAGUUACGUGUCUCGCUUCAUUUGGGUCUCACAGACUAUAGGACAUUUGUGGGAACAAAUCUCAAUCCAUCGUGGGAGAAGUUUUUGGUCCCAUCUGAAGAUGAUUCUGUACAUUGCCAACACAUGUCAAAUCCACUGGGCAAUGGUGCGAUUGUUGAGACAUCUGAUGAGAAGAUAAUUGUAUUGCAAAGAAGCUACAAUGUGGGGGAGUUUCCAGGAUACUAUGUUUUUCCUGGAGGACAUUCGGAGCCACAAGAAAUUGGAAUCAUGAGUCAUCAAACUGAUGAAGAAGACCUUGCUCGUCUCAACGAUCGUGUUUCACAAGAAAUGUUUGAUGGAAUUAUCCGUGAAGUGGUUGAGGAAACUGGGGUUCCUGCUAGUUCCCUGACGGAUCCUGUCUUCAUUGGAGUUUCUCGCCGUGAAAUGAAUGUUAGGCCAACUGCAUUCUUUUUUACAAAAUGUAACAUUGAUUCCAUUGGUGUAAAUGAGCUUUAUUCUAGAGCUCAAGAUGGCUAUGAAUCUACUAAACUAUAUGCAGUAUCAGUGGAAGAGCUACAAGGAAUGGCCCAGCGAAUGCCUGGCUGCCACAAUGGUGGUUCUCUGUAUGAAUUGAUGAGGAAUGCUGUCAAAAGUUCAUGAAGAUGCCAUUCAGAGAAUAGGUGGGUGGAAACACGACGCAGAACACUGGAUGUUCAGAUCCAUCAUAUUACUGUUGUCUGCACUUUGCAGUAGAUGUGCCAUUUCCAUAUUUGUUGGGCUGACGAAGGUCUACAUAGACCCUAGCAGAAGUCCCCAAAGAAAUAAAAGCAUUAAGGUUAAAUUUUCUCGAAAGAGUGUAACAGAAGAAAUUUCGCGAUGCUGACUUACAUGCAGAGACGACUCUAUUAGACUGUAAUGGUAUAUUUAAUAAGAACAGAAUGCACGGCCAACCUAUGCCUCAGCC